CCUAAGCCUAAGCUUGAGCCUAAGCCUGAACGUACGCCUAAGCCUAAGCCUAAGCCUAAGCCUAAA
ensembl:ncRNA W02B8.11 ncRNA